UAAGUUGCAAGAAAUAGCUUCCCGUUCCGAUUGCUCCUUCUCCACCAUUGUUACCACCUCCAAUGCUAACCUCUCCUGCCACUGUCUUCCCCCUGCCUUCUGUUUCUCUGGCCACUCCCUCCAUCCUUUACCAAUCCCGCCACCUUCCGCCCAUCACUUUGCCCAUCGCAAGACCUACUCCGUCCAAUUUUUGUCACUCCGUCUCUACACUUGUCUCUGCCACUCCUCCAUUACUGCUGUCAUCACCAUUAUUCCUCUCAGCCUGACAUUCUGGGCUCUCUCCUUCAGCUCUUCUGCUUUCCCCAAAUUUCAGACACAUUUAGGGCUUAUGAAAGGUGCAGUGUCUUGUUCUUUAAAGGAUGUGAGAUUAUUGUAUACUUGUUGUAGCAAAUUAGUGACCCAGUCAAAUUUCUUGGAAGGCGCUGGAUAUUAGAUGAGAAUGAUAUUAAGAAGCAAGAGGCAGGUGCUUCCUUUCUUGUGAAAAUGGGAAAAGGAAGGUUGCUGGUGCAUUUGCUGACUAUAUUUGUGUAAGAACUUUCCAAGGCAAUUGUGGACUAUAUUUUUUGACGUCACCAUCGAAUUUUUGAUGUUCAUGAAGGCUGCGUAGGUCUGCAAGGAGGAGGAAAGUGGUGGUGCCUUGGUGUUUCAAUGUUGAAGCUGAUGGCUUGGUUCCUUUGUUUUGUGUUUUUGAAAUCCACAAUUGGUUGAAUUCUUGUCUUACCUUUGAAGCUAGAAAGGACUAUUACAAUUCAAAAGAGCUACCUUUCUCUUUGGCUUGUUUUAGGCUUUUAGCGAGAAUACAUUUUUCUAUUUCUUUUAGCGAGAAUACAUUUAUUAAACUUUUAGUGAGAA